GANUCGUANCAGAGCGCUGGCGGCGUGCCUGACACAUGCAAGUCGAGCGAGAUUCUCAUAAUUGAUUCUUCGGAUGAUUUUAUGAGUUGACAGCGGCGGACGGGUGAGUAACGCGUAGGCAACCUGCCCCAUACAUUGGGAUAGCCCCGGGAAACUGGGUGUAAUACCGAAUAACACCUUAAGAUGGCAUCAUCUUAAAGUCAAAACUCCGGUGGUAUGGGAUGGGCCUGCGUCUGAUUAGCUAGUUGGUGAGGUAAUGGCUCACCAAGGCAACGAUCAGUAGCCGACCUGAGAGGGUGAUCGGCCACACUGGAACUGAGACACGGUCCAGACUCCUACGGGAGGCAGCAGUGGGGAAUAUUGCACAAUGGGCGAAAGCCUGAUGCAGCAACGCCGCGUGAGUGAUGAAGGCUUUCGGGUCGUAAAACUCUGUCCUAGAGGAAGAAUAAUGACGGUACUCUAGGAGGAAGCUCCGGCUAACUACGUGCCAGCAGCCGCGGUAAU
rnacentral:rRNA from 1 species